GCGCUCAAAGGAAGUGGGUUCGGCAGAAGGAGGUGGGUUAUGUUGUUCUCCAUUGCAAGUCAGCCUGUCCGUGAUCGCUUCAAAAAUAACGCUGAUGCCAAAAAGCUAUUGGAAAAAGUGAAGGAGCGUAGAUUGUAACAUUUUUAUGGUGGGAUACAUAUAUUCCAUCAUCAAUGGCACACCUAACGUAACGCACAGCUACCCCUCAAUCAGAAACCAUUCGUCAAUGCACACUAACUUUCCAAUCAAAUACAUGAGAGAAUCCCCCACUAUUGGCAUUCGAUCAGAUCUUCGCAUUGCUGUCACAUUGCAACCCAAACGGCAAAUCAACUACAGCCUGCAAUAUGAUGUACCAAGUAGUAUCCAAUGUAUCGUGUUGUAUGAAAUUUUCUAUAUUAUGUAUAUAUAGAUGAUUUGUGUGCAUAUUGUAUCAAAUGCACUAUCCAAUGUAUCAUGUUGUAUCAAAUUUAUCAGUGUAACUAGUAGAAAUGUAUCUAGUAGAAA